rnacentral:rRNA from 1 species
GACGAACGCUGGCGGCGUGCUUAACACAUGCAAGUCGAACGGAAAGGCCCUGCUUUUGUGGGGUGCUCGAGUGGCGAACGGGUGAGUAACACGUGAGUAACCUGCCCUUGACUUUGGGAUAACUUCAGGAAACUGUGGCUAAUACCGUAUAGGAGCUCCUGCUGCCUGGUGGGGGUUGGAACGUUUCGGCGGUUGGGGAUGGACUCGCGGCUUAUCAGCUUGUUGGUGGGGUAGUGGCUUACCAAGGCUUUGACGGGUAGCCGGCCUGAGAGGGUGACCGGCCACAUUGGGACUGAGAUACGGCCCAGACUCCUACGGGAGGCAGCAGUGGGGAAUAUUGCACAAUGGGCGGAAGCCUGAUGCAGCAACGCCGCGUGCGGGAUGACGGCCUUCGGGUUGUAAACCGCUUUCGCCUGUGACGAAGCGUGAGUGACGGUAAUGGGUAAAGAAGCACCGGCUAACUACGUG